GCAAGCCGCAUGCGGGGAGACCCGCACGUAUGGUUUUUAGGGAGUUCUGGUUAAAAAAUCGGCUAGCGCUCACCCGAU
rnacentral:ncRNA from 1 species